rnacentral:rRNA from 1 species
UAGGGCGGGACACGUGGUAUCCUGUCUGAAUAUGGGGGGACCAUCCUCCAAGGCUAAAUACUCCUGACUGACCGAUAGUGAACCAGUACCGUGAGGGAAAGGCGAAAAGAACCCCGGCGAGGGGAGUGAAAAAGAACCUGAAACCGUGUACGUACAAGCAGUGGGAGCACGCUUAGGCGUGUGACUGCGUACCUUUUGUAUAAUGGGUCAGCGACUUAUAUUCUGUAGCAAGGUUAACCGAAUAGGGGAGCCGAAGGGAAACCGAGUCUUAACUGGGCGUUAAGUUGCAGGGUAUAGACCCGAAACCCGGUGAUCUAGCCAUGGGCAGGUUGAAGGUUGGGUAACACUAACUGGAGGACCGAACCGACUAAUGUUGAAAAAUUAGCGGAUGACUUGUGGCUGGGGGUGAAAGGCCAAUCAAACCGGGAGAUAGCUGGUUCUCCCCGAAAGCUAUUUAGGUAGCGCCUCGUGAAUUCAUCUCCGGGGGUAGAGCACUGUUUCGGCAAGGGGGUCAUCCCGACUUACCAACCCGAUGCAAACUGCGAAUACCGGAGAAUGUUAUCACGGGAGACACACGGCGGGUGCUAACGUCCGUCGUGAAGAGGGAAACAACCCAGACCGCCAGCUAAGGUCCCAAAGUCAUGGUUAAGUGGGAAACGAUGUGGGAAGGCCCAGACAGCCAGGAUGUUGGCUUAGAAGCAGCCAUCAUUUAAAGAAAGCGUAAUAGCUCACUGGUCGAGUCGGCCUGCGCGGAAGAUGUAACGGGGCUAAACCAUG